UUGAAAGGGAAACGAUUGAAGUCAGAUCCCNCCCAAAUCAACCCUCUCAUCNNCANNCACAUACUNCACCUCAAAACCCCACACAUUNCUCACAUAAAACACUUUCNUUCCCUNUUAACAUCAAUUUCAACUCAUAAAAACCUNAGAUUGCUCCUUCGAUUUAUAACCUUUACNAAUUNUNUCGAUUANAUUCAACAAUACCUUUAGCUUUCCACCUGCUUCUCAUUGUAUCCUGUACACACUUCUACUUUUAGAUUCCCUUUAACANCUAAUUACAAAUUCGUUAAGGAUGUUGACGUA
rnacentral:rRNA from 1 species